CGAAUGCUGACAUAAGUAACGAUAAAGCGGGUGAAAAGCCCGCUCGCCGGAAGACCAAGGGUUCCUGUCCAACGUUAAUCGGGGCAGGGUGAGUCGACCCCUAAGGCGAGGCCGAAAGGCGUAGUCGAUGGGAAACAGGUUAAUAUUCCUGUACUUGGUGUUACUGCGAAGGGGGGACGGAGAAGGCUAUGUUGGCCGGGCGACGGUUGUCCCGGUUUAAGCGUGUAGGCUGGUUUUCCAGGCAAAUCC
rnacentral:rRNA from 1 species